rnacentral:rRNA from 1 species
AUUGAACGCUGGCGGCAGGCCUAACACAUGCAAGUCGAGCGGAUGACGGGAGCUUGCUCCUUGAUUCAGCGGCGGACGGGUGAGUAAUGCCUAGGAAUCUGCCUGGUAGUGGGGGACAACGUUUCGAAAGGAACGCUAAUACCGCAUACGUCCUACGGGAGAAAGCAGGGGACCUUCGGGCCUUGCGCUAUCAGAUGAGCCUAGGUCGGAUUAGCUAGUAGGUGAGGUAAUGGCUCACCUAGGUGACGAUCCGUAACUGGUCUGAGAGGAUGAUCAGGCACACUGGAACUGAGACACGGUCCAGACUCCUGCGGGAGGCAGCAGUGGGGAAUAUUGGACAAUGGGCGGAAGCCUGAUCCAGCCAUGCCGCGUGUGUGAAGAAGGUCUUCGGAUUGUAAAGCACUUUAAGUUGGGAGGAAGGGCAGUAAGUUAAUACCUUGCUGUUUUGACGUUACCGACAGAAUAAGCACCGGCUAACUCUGUGCCAGCAGCCGCCGUAA